GACAGAGGCCUCGAGCGUUAGGCGGAAUCACUGGGCUUAAAGCGUGUGUAGGCGGAUCGUUAAGUACCUUGUGAAAUCCCACGGCUCAACCGUGGAACGGCUGGGUAUACUGGCGGUCUUGGGCCAUUCAGGGGCGACUGGAACAAGCGGUGGAGCGGUGAAAUGCGUAGAUAUCGCUUGGAACGCCGAAGGUGAAAACAGGUCGCUGGGGAUGUGCCGACGCUGAGACACGAAAGCGUGGGGAGCAAACAGG
rnacentral:rRNA from 1 species